rnacentral:rRNA from 1 species
CGCGUAGGCGGUUUGAUAAGCUGGGUGUGAAAGCCCCGGGCUCAACCUGGGAAUUGCAUCCAGAACUGUCUGACUAGAGUAUGGUAGAGGGUAGUGGAAUUUCCUGUGUAGCGGUGAAAUGCGUAGAUAUAGGAAGGAACACCAGUGGCGAAGGCGGCUACCUGGACCAAUACUGACGCUGAGGUGCGAAAGCGUGGGGAGCAAACA